UAUAUUUAAAUAACAUUUUAAUGACAAAAUUUGAUGCUCUCAAGUAUCAAAAUGGAAAUACCAACAGCAAGGUUUCCAGGGAUGUCCAACACCACAGAGCAGGGAGGCCUGGCUGGGCCUCCACUGUUGAGGUCAUCAUGGUGCUUCCGCUUUAUUCUGAUUAACUUUUGGUUACACACAUUGAAAAAUGACCUAAGAGAGUUGUUUUGAGUGGCGCUUUUUCUCAUUGUACAGCUCCUGCUAGCAGUUUACUGCAACACUGAUUUCUCUGGAACCUCUCAGUUUCCAGUCAUCAUUAGGGCUGUUACUAGCAAGGACCUACAAGCCAGCCUCAAAAUGUGAGAGGGCUGCCGACAGUCUUCCUGUGGUUAGCUGCCACAGUGCCCAGGGACCAUCUUCCCUCUCCUCCUCCCCCACUGCCAGCUCCUGUUCCAGCCGCAUCAGUUCCUCAUUUGAGAGAUCUUCUUCAUGGGACUGCAGCAACUGGUCCACAGCAGCCUCAGCAACCUCUUCAAAGGCCACAUUUCUGGCAAGGGUCACAAUGUUUUUUUGAAGCUGUGCAAUGUUAUCUGCCUGGGAAAAACGCUGGGCCUGAACACACUCAGGCCAAAUCUUCUUCCACAUGCUGUUCAUUAGUGCUGGUUUGAGCUCCUCCCAUGCGAUGGCCAUGUCCACAGCAUCCAUGAUGCUGUAGUUUCUCCAAAAUUCCCUGAUCAUAGCUGUGUCCUCACCAUCCGCUGCUUCUAGGAUGUGCUGAAAAGUCCUUCUCAGAUAAUGAGCUUUCAAGGUCGAGAUUACACCUUGACACGUGGUCCGGAUUGAGUCAGCUGUACUGUCAUGAAGGUAUUAUACUCUUGUACUUCUUUUUUUUCUUUUUUUUUUUUGAGACGGAGUUUCACUCCUGUUGUCCAGGAUGGAGUGCAAUGGCGCGAUCUCGGCUCACCACAACCUCCGCCUCCCAGGUUCAAGCAAUUCUCCUGCUUUAGCCUCCCGAGUAGCUGGGAUUACAGGCCUGCACCACCACGCCCGGCUAAAUUUGUAUUUUUAAUAGAGACGGGGUUUCUCCAUGUUGAGGCUGGUCUCGAACUCCUGACCUCAGGUGAUCCGCCCGUCUCGGCCUCCCAAAGUGCUGGGAUUACAGGCCUUUGCGAUCUGACUGAGCUUCUCACCCGCUUCAAAUCGUCGUAACACUUCCAAUUUGAGGUCAAGGGUAAUCGCUUUCCGUUCCCUUUUGGCACUAGGGAUGACAGUUGCAUCUGUGGGCCUUUCCCCAGGCAUUUCUGCCUCCAAAAUGUCAGAAAAUCACAGCGGUCUCAAGCGCAAGAACGCUGUGGUUCCUCUACGUCCCCUUGCAGAACUCGGUCAACAGAAAACGAGGCUGCGAAGAGGCUCAGGCUGAUGUCCUGGAGACGUGGACGGGUCCCCAUGGGCAGGCCCAGCCCCACUGCCUAGCCCAGCUGCUGCUUCACUGUCCACUCCGAGGAGGCCGCGCGGGUCUCCCGGUACCGCUCGAAGUCCGCGUGUUGGGGCCGUGCGGCCGCAGGCACAUACAAGCGGCCUGGGUCCUGGGGCUCCAGAGAACAACCGACCAAGCAGACAAACGGAACUCCGUGAGGGGGACACUGCGGCAGAAACGUCCAGGGGCGGUUUUCCAGUGCAGCGGAGGGCGGACCGGGCGGGUGUUGUUUCGGGAGCUGCUUUCCAUGGAGGACCCCAGAAAUAAGUGUUGAUGCCGAUGCCCGAUUUAAGAUAAGUCUAAAGGCGCUGGCUAUCCCCUUAGGGCCCAGCUGUCUGGGCAGGGCGAGGCUGCGCUGGCGAUCAAACCCUCGAACGGUCAGGCGACGGCGUGGACACCCAAGACGGGGCCCCAGCCGGCGCCGCGCCCCUGCCGCGCCUGCGC
rnacentral:lncRNA from 1 species